rnacentral:misc_RNA from 1 species
GAUGAAGAAAGUAGCGAAAUGCGAUAAGUAGUGUGAAUUGCAGAAUUCAGUGAAUCAUCGAAUCUUUGAACGCACAUUGCGCCUCCUGGUAUUCCGGGAGGCAUGCCUGUUCGAGCGUCAUUAAAAUCACUCAAGCUUAGGUUUACCUAUUGCUUGGUCUUGGAGAUGGAAGCCAAUUUAUUGGAAUCCUCUUCGAAAUUCAAUGGCGAAGACCCUUGCUCUCCCAAGUGUAGUAAUAACUUAUGUCACUGAAGGAAGCGAGAAAUCUUCUGCCGUAACCCCCAUAUUUUCUAUGAUUGACCUCGGAUCAGGUAGGGAUACCCGCUGAACUUAAGCAUAUCAAUAAGCGGAGGA